CAGUGCUGCAGGGAAAGGAGGUGGGGCCAGUAGGGGGAGGUGGGCUCGGGCCUCGUCUUUCCGCUUUUCGGCCAAUCCGUGCAGCGCCCCUGACAGAGACGCGGAGCCCGGUGCAGCAGACAGUUCAACUAUUUUCCCCUUUUCUGCCACGUCCCAACCAUUGACGCGAGCCCACUCUUCGAGUUGCGAUUGGGUGUGUCCAUUUUCCCCCCUGCAGAGGCUGCUGGCAUUUAUUGGACAGCACUGCCUAGGGGGCGGGGCUUACGUGCUCGCCCCGCCUCCACCGCGGCGCGAGGGGCGGGGCACGCCGCUGCCGCCUCUGCUUCCGCCGCCGCCGCCUGCCGCUGCGCGCUCGGCGGGGGAGGAGUCGGAGGCGGAGAAGAAGGCGGUGGUGGCGGGUGGCGGAUCGAGCGCCGUUCGCGUUCCGGAGCCGCUUCGCGUUUCGCUCGGGCCGCAGACCCCCUGGAGGAACCACAGGAUGGUUCUCCGCCGCUGGCGCCGCUGCAUCCAUCCCCCUUCCGGUUGGCGACGCCUGUCAGCGCCCGCCUGGCAGAUGCACCUUCAGUUUUGGCCUCCUUAGAAUUACUGCGUGUUAGUCGUUUUGCGCACAUUCAAAAUGUCUUAUGUUCUUAUGUGAUGUCCACAUUGCCACAUCAGUUAACGAGAAGUUUAACUUCCACAUCUUUGGUGAGUUUAUGUAUCUCUGUAAUUGACUUUUAUGUUUCCUUGUAAUCUUGUAGACAGAUAACAUGAGGUGUGAUCAACAAAUGCAGUGAUUGUUUAAAUUUUUAAAAAUUUAUUACAAUAAAGGACACUGCCAUUAACCCCCCUCAGACUCCCCUUUGCUUAGGGUUACACUUAUCCCAUCAUUGCUGGCACUUUAUGAUGCAGUUCUGGAAGUCCUCUUUUAUGAGUGUCUUUAGUUGCACUAUUGUGGCUGUCAAACAUUUACUUUUCUUAGUCAUUUUGAUUUUGGGAGAGCUCCAAAAGUCACAUAGAGCCAGGUCCCAUGAAUAAGGUGCAUGAAGACGCACUGUAAUGUUUUUACAAACCUGUCUUUCAGUUGGAUGACACUGGGCAGCAGUACUCACCAUAAUUUUGAUCAUACCUCAUAAAGAUCAGUAGAUUAUAGUUAAUAGUUAUGUAUGAAUGUGAAUCUGCUUCUUUACCUACUAGUCUUUUAGUGUGCUAGAGUUUAUUUAUUUAUGUUUUUUAAAUUUUUUUUUCUUUUGGUUUUUUUCUGGUACCAGGAAUCGAACUCACGACCUUGCACUUGCCAGGCAGGCACUGUACUGCUGAGCUAAAUCCCCAGUCCCUGUGCUAGAGUUUAUUAAAUCUCAUCAAUGAUUGAGCUGGGUUUGAAUGUUACUGCUUUAAUUACUUUCAGUACACCAGCCAGUCAGCUGAAAAGCCUGAUUUUUCAAGUGUUCCUAUCUGAUCAUCAGCUUUCAGGUUUCCUGAUGUACCUUUACUUCAGUCAAGAGAAGUCUUCACAAGCUGUCCUUUUCCCAAACAGAUGCAUCCAACCUGUGACUUGCCUUUUUCCCCUUUAUAAAAUCUUAUAAUAAAAAUACUUUAAAAUGGAAAUUUUAUGCUUAUAUACAUUAAUUGUAAUAUAUCUUGUUUAAGGCUGAAAACAAUUCCUCUUCACUUAAGAAAACGUGGGCUACCAGUAGGACAUGCCUUCAUAGACCCUUAUUGUUUCUUGAUGCUCACUGGCCUGGGAAUAUUGGGAGAGGAUUGUCAGUCUUCCUGAGCCUUCCGCACCUUCCAUUACACACACAUUGUAUCUCUCCAUCUUAGGGGUGGGGCAGUGAUUCUAUUCUUCCCAUAGUAACCAAACUCUGUCUCCUGUCUUUUCUGCAGGAGAGAUCCCUUUCCCAGUACUAGGAGAUCUCAGAAUAGGAACCUGGACCAUGAAAUGUUUCCUAACCCUGUUGCAGGAAUAAAAGUUCUUUUUUCUUUCACCCAUACCUAGCCAUGGUGGAGCACAGUGAUCGCUGCCUUUCUUCCAGUAUUUAUAGCUUAUGCUUUCUGUAAGGUAGAAGGGUUGAGUCAGGGUUUCAUUCCUUUCACUCACUGGCCGUCAGUCCCUUCUACUACCAAAGGAUGGCCUCUUUAGCCUCCCAUCCUUCUCUCAGUCCUGCUUUUAAGAAUCUGGUAGAGAACCAAGCAAAAGAUCCUGCACAUGGAUGCUACCUUUGCGUAUGUGUGCAGUUCUUCAAUGUUCUUUUUUUUUUUUUUUUUUUUUUUUUUUCUUCAAUGUUCUGUCCUUGCAUUUAGCCCAUGCUUUGCCUUGAGCAGUUUGUUUAAAAAUUUUUAGCUGGUUCUUCUUACCCACUUGAGUGAUGUCUGAUGGCUCUUUACUCCUGUGCUGUUCACAAGUGAGUCAGCCACCAUGCCCUUUCUGUCUUUGGAGGGGCAGGCUUAUCUCCUUAUGUCUCUGUAUACCUGAUUGCAUCUGUACCUCAAGUCUAAUGUUUUUACUGUUUUCUGGCAUUUUUUUUAUUGUUAAGGUGAGAAUGAGUCUCCCUUGUUCUACAUCCUAGGCAGAAGUGGAACUGCUACAAAUGGUAUGUCAUAUUACUAUAAUUAUUUUUUAUAGCUAUGCUGUUUGGUAGUGACUUAUAUUUUGAUAUAGUUGGCCAUCUUAAUCCAUUCCCGUUGCUAUAAUAAAAUACCCAACACUGAGUAAUUCAUACAGAAAAGAAAUUUUAUUCUCACCGUUUUGGAUGCUGGAAAUCUUAAAAUAAGGGUGCUGGCAGAUACAAAGUGUAAUGAGGGUUGCUGCCUGUUUCCAAGGUGGCAUCUUGUUAAAUGGCACCUCACUUGGUGAAAGGCAGACAGUUAAAGGAACCCAGCUGGUCCCUCCAACCCUCUCUAAGGUCGUUAAUGAUUUGAUCACAUCCCCAGAGGAUUCUCUUCAUAAUACUACCAUUAAGUUUCUAUAUGAAUUUUAGAAGGAGAUGUAGACAUUCAAACCAUAGUACUAGCAAUAUUGCCAAGUUCUCUGGUAUGUUUCACAUUUUUUCCUUAGGUUUCUUUUUGACUUUUUAAAACAAACUUUUCAACUUUUUAAACUUUUUUCUUUACUUUUUUAUGCCUUUCUUCUUUCCUAUAUAUUGGUAAAUGGAAGUAAUGACGGUAUUUGAAAAAAGUAGACUAUUAGCAGCAUUUCACCAUUCAGUAUAACUGUUGUAGCUUUUUGGUUGCUAAAUUGUAUAAGGCUUCAGAAAUUCUUUUUAAUUUUUAGUUUGUUGAAAGCUUUUGAAAUUCUUAAUGAAGUGCUUUUUCUACUUCUACAGACAUGCUAAUGAUAAUGUAAUUUUUUUUUGUUGUUGUUGUUUUGGUUUUUCUCCAGUACCGGGAACCGAACUCACUACCUUCCGCUUGCCAGGCAGGUGCUUUGCCGCUGAGCUAAAUCCCCAGCCCCGAUAAUGUAAUUUGUCACAUACAUUGAUGAGUGACUCAGUUUAUACUGUUUUAAAACACGUUACUAUACUUGGUUUGGAAGUAUCUUGUUUAAACUUUUAAUCUUUACUACUGAAGUUGACCUUUAAUUUUCCAUUUUUGUAACUUUCCUGGCUAUUUUAUGAAGAUUUGACUGUCUCAUAAAGUGAGCAACAUAUUUUUUAAAUGAACUAUGAAAAUCUUUUGUGCUCUCUAAAGAAAUUUGCUUAGUAUUAGAAUUAUCUUUUUCUUGAAUAUUUAAUGGAAAUAGCUAUUUAAUAUCUGUGGGCCUAGUUUUCUCCAUAUGAGCAGGUUUUACUGUUUCAAUUUCUUUAAUGAUGUAGAGUCACCAUUUUUUUCUACUUACGUUUUAGUCAACUGUGGUAUCUUUGUUACUUUCCUCUUGUUGCUGAGACAAAAUACCUGACACCCACAGUUAAAGGAGAAAAGAUUUAUUUAGCUCACAGUUUGUAGAGGUUUCAGUCCAUAAUCUGCUGGCUCCAAGGCAGGGUGGUGUGGCAGACAGGCAUCCUAGAGAAGAAACAGUUUAUGACAGGCAGAAGGUAGUAAAACAAGCAAGGAGGGGGACAGCCGCAGCUCUUUCUGUCCCUUCUAUUUUAACCAGGCUACUCUGGUUAGAUAGCACUCACACUCUUAAUUCUGGUGCCCUUGAUCAUAGCAUUGCACCAUGAAUCAAUUCCAGUGUCAUGCACUUGAUUCAGCCACCUCUGAAAAAGCUCCACCUAUGGCUGCUUGAGGCUUUGGGGGUACAUCUAGACACAGCCAUAACACUUGAUCAUUUAGUUUUUCUGAAAUUUGUACAUUUCAGUCAAGUUUUCGCAUACAUUGUUCAUAAUAUCUUUAUCUUCCAGCUUGUGCUUUAUCUAAGUUCUGCUUUCAUGGUCAUUCCUGUGUCAAUUAUUUGAGCUCCCACUCCCAUACCCCCACUCUUUGUAGAGUUUUGCCCUUUGAUAGCUGCCAAGAAGGUCUUUGUCUUUGGUGACCUGCCCUGGAUCUUCUACAGUUUCUGCUGCGCAUAACUAGCUGAGUAUUUAUUCUGCUUAAGAUUCUUUGGACUUAGCGAUCUGAGAAUUCACUUUUAUCUUUGACUGUUAACAGUUUUCAUCUGUUCUCUCAGUUCUCUCUUGGAAUGCUAUUUACAAGUAUUUUCUGCUUUCUCAUUCUGUCCUACAUGUGUCUCUUAUUAUCCUUUUAAAAAGUAUUUCUGUUCUGUUCUUUCUAGAUAUUAUGUGCUGAGUAUUUUUAAUACCUGUUUUCUAGUUUCCUAAUUAUUUUUUCAAUAGGGUUUAUCUACUUUCUUAUUCAUACUGUUUUUGUUUUACUUACAUAUUUUACUUUUACAGUUCCUAUUCUCUUGUGCUCUCACUGUUUUUUAGGUGGUUGUUACUGUUGUUGUUGUUUGAGAUGGGGUCUUGCUAUGUACAGUGGUGGCUCAGGCUGGCUUUAAACACACUAAGAAAACCAGGCUAGUCAUGGCAAUCUUCCUGCCUCAGCUUGCUGGAAUUAUAGAUGUGCACCACCUCAAUCAGCAUGUUCUGUUGUAUUUUUAAGUGUCUUCUUUUUUGGUCAUACUUUUAUAAAGUUCUGGUAUUUGGUGAUCUCAUUGUCUGAGAUGUUCAUAGACAUGUUCCUGUGUCCUAAUUUACUAGCUUUUGCCAGCUUUAUUUCUUUUGUAUCUUGUACUUUUUAUUAUGAACUCGUGUUGUUUGAAGUUUUAUAUGUGGAAAUUCCGACCUGGGUUGAAAAUGAGGUGAUGUUCACCAAGAGGAAUUACCUUUGCUUCUGCCAGAUGCUUAGGAUACUAUACCCUGAAACCAGGGGCUCUAUAGGUGGUAUUGCAGCUGCAGAUCUAGAUGAGGUGAUGGCUCUGAAUUGUUAGACAACAUUCCUCUUCUUUCC
ensembl:lincRNA